rnacentral:tRNA from 1 species
GAUCUUAUAGUUUAUAUAAAAUAUAAAGUUGCAAACUUUGAGAUACAAUUAAGUGUGUUAAGAUUU